UACAGAGGUCUCAAGCGUUGUUCGGAUUCAUUGGGCGUAAAGGGUGCGUAGGCGGCGCGGUAAGUCGGGUGUGAAAUCUCGGAGCUUAACUCCGAAACUGCAUUCGAUACUGCCGUGCUUGAGGACUGGAGAGGAGACUGGAAUUUACGGUGUAGCGGUGAAAUGCGUAGAUAUCUGGAGGAAUACCGGUGGCGAAGGCGGCAUCCUGGACCGGCAUUGACGCUGAUGAGCGAAAGCUAGGG
rnacentral:rRNA from 1 species